rnacentral:tRNA from 1 species
GGGGCCGUAGCCUAGCCAGAGUCUUAGAUGACUCCUAGAAAGGUAAGGCGUCCGGCUCCAGACCGGAAGACCGGGGGUUCAAGUCCCCCCGGCCCCA